rnacentral:rRNA from 1 species
GACGAACCGAGCGAACGUUGUUCGGAAUCACUGGGCUUAAAGGGCGCGUAGGCGGCCUGCCAAGUCAGGAGUGAAAUCUUUCGGCUCAACCGGAAAAGUGCUUUUGAUACUGGCAAGCUAGAGUGCGGUAGAGGGUAGUGGAAUUCCCGGUGUAGCGGUGAAAUGCGUAGAGAUCGGGAGGAACACCAGUGGCGAAGGCGGCUACCUGGACCAGCACUGACACUGAGGCACGAAAGCGUGGGGAGCAAACAGG